AUUGAGGUCUAUCCCGAUGGGGUUUUGCAGUAUGCCCUUGUCGUUGGAAAUGCCUCAGAGAUAAAGCUUGCAGUUUGGUUUGCCUGCUAAAUGUUGUUGUUAGGAGGUUAAUAACUGCAUAACACUA